GGGGGCGUGUGGGGUAAAGAAGGGAGUGCAGUGGAGUCAGCCCUUAGUGAACAAGUCUGCCUUGAAGGUGGAGAUGGGCACCCUUCUGGCUGAGUCUGCUCCAGCAGAGAGCUCAGGGGCCAGCAGCAGGCACCACAAGGAGCAAAGCAACUGGUGUAAGUCCCACAGCUUCCCACGACCAAGAGUGCUUCAUUCUGCCCAGGCAUCUGUUCAGUCCCAUCUUUUAUUUUAAGACCGGAUCUGGCUCUGUCACCCAGGCUAGAGUGCAGUGGUACAAUCUGGGCUCACUGCAGCCCGAACUCCUGGGUUCAAGCGAUCCUCCUACCACAGCGUCCCAAGCAGCUGGGAUUAUGGGGUGCACACCACCAUGCCCCGCUAAUUUUCUACUUUUUGUAGAGAUGGGGUCUCACUGUGUUGCCCAGGCUUGUCUCAAACUCCUGGGCCACUUCAGCUUUCCAAAGUGUUGGGAUUACAGGCAUGAGCCACUGCACCUGGCCUCAAUCUUUUCAAUAUUCUGUUUUUAAAAGCAGACAUCUCCCUGGUUGGAGCAAGGAGGAAACAGGGCUUUGGAAAGUUCUGAGAGCCAAGGAGAAGCCCCACAACAGUUCGAGAUCUUUCCAGAAUAAUCCACACUCCACCUCCUCAUCCCUCUUACCAAAGGGCGACACUUUGUUCCUGGGAGUAGGGGGAGAUAUACGCCCAGUACCUGUCCUCAUCAAACAAAGUCACAGGCACCCAAGGGCAGCCGCGCUGCCACCGAGGGCCCCCGGCUGCUCACCAGCACCAGUCAGCUCCUGCCUUUCUUAAAAGGAGACACGUGGCUCGCAUCCCCUCCCCGCCCUGAGGAGGCACGCGUCUCGGCCCUGCGCCAUGAAGAGGCACCUUCCCACCCCCGCCCCUCAAACGCGCGAGGCCACACGUUCCGACCUCCGCCACCUCCACAUGCCGCAACACUAGUGAGUGGGCGCCAGCUCCCAACGGUCGGGGGCGGAGCUAAGAGCGCCGCGCCCAAAAAAGGCGGCAAAGUCCCUGACUCGCUGAGAUCUUGCGAGCUGCGAUGUCUAUCCCCUUCAUCUCCUCUCCUCCGACAGCACGCCGUGAUUCCCCUAAGGCACCUUUCACCGUUAGGGAUGAGGACCCCGCGGCGGUUCUCGGUGUGGCUCUGAUUCACCGCCAUCUUGCUUCGGGCCUCCUCCUGCCGCCCCGCAGAUGGAAAGGGACGGGACCUGCGCCAAGUCUUGUGGCGUGGCUUUGAGGGGGAGGGCGCAGAUUAUGACGAAACCGCUGCCUUUCAGAGAAAGGGUCCAGAACAACUCCUCGCCUCCCUAGGCCCGCAGAACUUUCUUCCACCAGCGGAGGCCCAGAAGCCCUUGAGCGAGUCCCUGCCAGUUUCAGGAUCGAGUCCCUGCCAGUUCCAGGAUCGAAAGCGCCUUUGUCUCUGGGUUAUCUUUCAUGCCUGCCCUGCUUCCUCCAGGCCAGGUGUGGUGGCUUACACCUGUAGUCCCAGCUACUCAGGAGGCUGCGGCAGGAGGAUCGCUUGAGCCAGGGAGAUGGAAGCUGGGGAUGGCAGUGAGCGGUGAUCACACCACCACACUCCAGCCUGGGCGGCAGAGCAAGACCCUAUUUCAAAUAAUAAAAACAAACUUCACAAAUAGUAUCAGAGAUCUUCAAAGAGAUUAAAAAGAUCUUCAAAGAGAUGUAAACCUCUUCUUGACUACUGUAUUUCAUGGAAUUUAAGAUGCUAUUAAGUAUAAGAUGCAACAAUUUUUCAUGUACCGAGGAAAAAAAAAGUUGCCAAAUAAACUGACAUCCCAUCAAUUGUAAA